rnacentral:rRNA from 1 species
GAUCAACGCUGGCGGCGUGCUUAACACAUGCAAGUCGAACGAAGUUUUUCUUUCGGGAGGAACUUAGUGGCGGACGGGUGAGUAACGCGUGGGUAACCUGCCCUGUACAGGGGGACAACAGCUGGAAACGGCUGCUAAUACCGCAUAAGCCCUUAGCACUGCAUGGUGCAUAGGGAAAAGGAGCAAUCCGGUACAGGAUGGACCCGCGUCUGAUUAGCCAGUUGGCAGGGUAACGGCCUACCAAAGCGACGAUCAGUAGCCGAUCUGAGAGGAUGUACGGCCACAUUGGGACUGAGACACGGCCCAGACUCCUACGGGAGGCAGCAGUGGGGAAUAUUGCACAAUGGAGGAAACUCUGAUGCAGCGACGCCGCGUGAGUGAAGAAGUAGUUCGGUAUGUAAAGCUCUAUCAGCAGGAAAGAAAAUGACGGUACCUGACUAAGAAGCACCGGCUAAAUACGUG